CCAAUAGCGUAUAUUAAAGUUGUUGCAGUUAAAAAGCUCGUAGUUGAAUUUCGGGGUCAGUAGGCUGGUCGUGCCACAGGUAUGUACUGGUCUUACUGAUUCCUCCUUCCUGAUGAACCGUAAUGCCAUUAAUUUGGUGUUGCGGGGAAUCUGGACUGUUACUUUGAAAAAAUUAGAGUGUUUAAAGCAGGCUAACGCUUGAAUACAUUAGCAUGGAAUAAUGAAAGAGGACGAUCGAUCCUAUUUUGUUGGUUUCUAGGAUUGACGUAAUGAUUAAUAGGGAUAGUUGGGGGCAUUAGUAUUCAAUUGUCAGAGGUGAAAUUCUUGGAUUUAUUGAAGACUAACUACUGCGAAAGCAUUUGCCAAGGAUGUUUUCAUUAAUCAAGAACGAAAGUUAGGGGAUCGAAGACGAUCAGAUACCGUCGUAGUCUUAACCAUAAACUAUGCCGACUAGGGAUCGGAUGAUGUUAAUUUUUUAAUGACUCAUUCGGCGCCUUACG
rnacentral:rRNA from 1 species